rnacentral:rRNA from 1 species
CUACGGGAGGCAGCAGUGGGGAAUAUUGGACAAUGGGCGCAAGCCUGAUCCAGCCAUGCCGCGUGAGUGAUGAAGGCCUUAGGGUUGUAAAGCUCUUUUAUCCGGGACGAUAAUGACGGUACCGGAGGAAUAAGCCCCGGCUAACUUCGUGCCAGCAGCCGCGGUAAU